rnacentral:tRNA from 2 species
CAGGAGGUAGGAGAGCGGCCACUCCGCCGGCCUUGGGAGCCGGACAGCGCGGGUUCGAAUCCCGCCCUCCUGA